UGAGUAACCUGCCCUUAACUCUGGGAUAAGCCUGGGAAACUGGGUCUAAUACCGGAUAUGACUCCUCAUCGCAUGGUGGGGGGUGGAAAGCUUUUUGUGGUUUUGGAUGGACUCGCGGCCUAUCAGCUUGUUGGUGAGGUAAUGGCUCACCAAGGCGACGACGGGUAGCCGGCCUGAGAGGGUGACCGGCCACACUGGGACUGAGACACGGCCCAAACUCCUACGGGAGGCAG
rnacentral:rRNA from 1 species